UACGUAGGGAGCAAGCGUUGUCCGGAAUCAUUGGGCGUAAAGCGCGCGUAGGUGGCCACAUAAGUCCGUUGUGAAAGUCAAAGGCUCAACCUUUGAAAGCCGAUGGAUACUGUGUGGCUAGAGUACGGAAGAGGCGGGUGGAAUUCCUGGUGUAGCGGUGGAAUGCGCAGAUAUCAGGAGGAACACCAAUAGCGAAGGCAGCUCGCUGGGACGUUACUGACACUGAGGCGCGAAAAGCGUGGGGGAGCGAACAGG
rnacentral:rRNA from 1 species